rnacentral:rRNA from 1 species
AACGAAUGCUGGCGGCAGGCUUAACACAUGCAAGUCGAACGGUAACAGGUCUUCGGAUGCUGACGAGUGGCGAACGGGUGAGUAAUACAUCGGAACGUGCCCGAUCGUGGGGGAUAACGAAGCGAAAGCUUUGCUAAUACCGCAUACGAUCUACGGAUGAAAGCAGGGGACCGCAAGGCCUUGCGCGAACGGAGCGGCCGAUGGCAGAUUAGGUAGUUGGUGGGAUAAAAGCUUACCAAGCCGACGAUCUGUAGCUGGUCUGAGAGGACGACCAGCCACACUGGGACUGAGACACGGCCCAGACUCCUACGGGAGGCAGCAGUGGGGAAUUUUGGACAAUGGGCGAAAGCCUGAUCCAGCCAUGCCGCGUGCAGGAUGAAGGCCUUCGGGUUGUAAACUGCUCUUGUACGGAACGAAAAGACUCUGGUUAAUACCUGGGGUCCAUGACGGUACCGUAAGAAUAAGCACCGGCUAACUACGUGCCAGCAGCCGCCGUAAUAC